ensembl:misc_RNA 7SK 7SK RNA
GGAUCUGAGGGCAAUCUGGCUGUGACAUUUGUCACCCCAUUGAUCACUAGGGUUGAUUCAGCUAUCUGGCUGGCUAGGCGGAUGUCCCCUUCCUCCCUCACCAUUCCAUGUGCGCCCCUCCAGAAGCUGCCCACUCAGUCCAGUCGAAAAGGCUGGCCUUCCUGGAAUAGAGACAGACAGGUCUUUGGUUGAGGUUAUAGGAGUAGCUGCACUCCCCUGCUAGAACCUCCAAACUAGCUCUCAAGACCGGCUCCAGGAUCCCAAUUCAAGCCCCUGGGGCUCCCCACCUGUAGGGGGAGUAGCUUCACAUGUGGUGAAGCAGGUUU